GACGUAGGGCGCAAGCGUUGUCCGGAUUUAUUGGGCGUAAGGAGCUCGUAGGCGGCUGGUCGCGUCGACUGUGAAAACCCGCAAGCCUCGAACUGUGUGGUCUGCAGUCGAUACGGGCUGGCUGGAGUUCGGUAGGGGAGGACUGGAAUUCCUGGUGUAGCGGUGAAAUGCGCAGAUAUCAGGAGGAACACCGGUGGCGAAGGCGGGUCUCUGGGCCGAUACUGACGCUGAGGAGCGAAAGCGUGGGGAGCGAACAGG
rnacentral:rRNA from 1 species